CUGUGUAUGUUUUUGUUUGUUUGUUUGUUUGUUUUUUAAAGAUAAUGUCUAUUAUUUGAAAAAUGUAUUUUAUUUGAAAACACUUGAGUUUGUCUAAUUAUGGAUUAAAUCCUAAUAUGUGACUUCGUUGAGAAAAUUACUAACAUUGGCAUUCCAGUUUAUCUCACAUACUGAAAUCUCCUUUUUAUUUACCAGAACAGAUUCCAUCUCUGUCUUUUAACUGAGGUGAAAACAUAAGACCUUUUUUUUGCCUUUUCCAGAAUCUGUCAACACUUACUGAGUUGGACAGAAGGUUUAAGCACAGUGAGGCUUCAUCUUCGUGUUCCUGAGGGACCAGAAUCCUCUGGUUACAAAACCCUCAGAGCUAAAUUCUUAGUGGGGACACAUGUACAGUAUCAGUGUACAUUCAGGGUUGGUGUUUCUUGGGCUAUCUGAGUAACUAUGAACAUUACAAAAAGAAAUGAAAAACAACCAAAAUCUCUUAUCCUAAACACUGUAAUUGGUUUCUCCAAUUUCUGCUUCCUACAUCUGAAUGAACUUGUAAGAAGAAAAUGCUUCCUCUGUAGGUGGCCUGGUCAGGUUGGCCUGAUACCUGGAGUGAAAAGAAUGGAACAGAGUAAAGAGCACAAAUCUGGGACCCUGGAAAACUGCCCUCUAGUCCUGGUUUUGCUGUUUAAUGAUUGUUAUAACUAAACAAGGCAGUUUGCAGAUCUGGCUUUAGUUUUUCUACCUGUACACUCGGGGGUGUAGAUGAUCUCCAGAAUUACAGAAUCACAGGGUUGGAAGUAGCUUUGUGCAACCCUCCUAAAGAGCAUGGACAUGAUCUUUGAAGCAGCCUUGACAGGUUGCCAUUCCAUCUCCAUUUGUCUGUGUUCAGCCUUUGCUUGGCUUCUACUCUAGAGAUGGGGAACUGUUGGUUUUCAAGGUAGUUUGGAGCCACUUAGUAUUAGGUAGCUUUUCAUAGUGUAUGCAUUCCUUGCCCUCCUGUAGUCCUAAUUUUAUGUUUUUCAUCUUUUAUGUGACAAAUCUUUAGAUAUUGAACAAGAAUUAUGUCAGUUCUCUUUCCAGUUAUACUGCAAAAGCUCUGUCUGCCCUCCCUCCCUCUUUGAUGUGAUUUCAGACCCUUCACAAUUAUGCUAGCUUUCCUGAAAUGUUCCAGUUUUUCAUUGCCACUUUAAAAAUGUGAUUCUCAGAAAAGCAUAUAAUACUUCCGAUAGGAUGUGAGCAGCACAGGGCAUGCUAAGAACGUUUAAAAACUGUAAUUUCAUGAGUACAGCCCAAGUUGAUUUUUUGUUGUUAUUGGUGUCUUUUAUAGACAGCAUCUGUCUGUGACAUCCUUGAUGUUUUAUUUCACAUGGAUUGAUUGCUCAUAAGCAAGGCUUCAUGUUAUAGAUGGGCAGCUUAUUUCUUUGGCCCUUGGCAGUACUUUAUAUUUUUUCUUCCUUUUGUGAGUUAUUUUAUAUCUGCUCCUUGUUCUGCCUGCUGAAUUGUUCUGAACCUUUCAUCUGCUCUAGGAAUUAGUGAUCCUGUCAGGCUGUUGUCUCCUUAUUAUCCUCACUGAUCAUACAUUUGAGUCCAUCCCAAGUGAUUGAUGAAAACGUUGACCAGGGCAAAGUCAAGUAGAGGCUCUUGUGGUAAACUGCUGGGGUCUUUCUACUGUCUACAUUUGACUGGUGGGGAACCCUGACAGUGUUUCCAGGCUCCUAUUGACAAUGUGUUGUUAUUCUUGGUUAGAUGUAAUUUAGAUGGAAUUUGUCUUGCUCUGAAGUCUUGAACUCAGUUUGUUUUCUCAUUAAUUUAUCGUCUUCUAUUUUGAAAAUUCUGUAUUUGUUUUUAUGUUUAUACACAUUUGGAUUUAGUGGUGUUAGCUAUUCCCCCCCCCCCCCCCGACGAUUAUUAUGUUCUAGUUAGUUUUUGCUUUAGUGGUCUUUAUUAAUACUGCCACCAACCCCACCCAUCUUUUCUUUUCUUUUCUUUUUUUUUAACGUUCACAAUCUCCCCAUGAUUUCCUGACCUAGAGUGCCUAGUACUGAGUGGUAAAUGGGGGUUGGGGUGGUCUUGCUGGUGGAGUAACAGAAGGAAGAAAUUUCUUAAAUUAAGAAGGUUUCCAGUCUUUCUUCCAGAGGUACCGCUAAAAAUACAUGCCAAAGUUUUUCAAAAGACUGUAACUUUAGACAUUUUAAAAUAUUCUGUUGGAGAUAAAGUUUAAAAAGCAAUUAAUAAAGAGAAACAUACUGAAGUGUUACUCCAGAUAUCCUGAUGGAUAUUGUAUGUUGAAAAGUUACAUUUUAGAAAAUAAAGGGUAUAUAGUUACCCUUUAUUAUGAGGUUUCAUAAAAUAUCUCAUAAUUAUGAGGUAUAUGAAAUAGGUUAAAAAAAUUUGAAUGACAUUUACCUGACAAAUGGCUAGUAAAAAGCAUACUGUAUAAGAAUGUAAUGGGAUAAUGGUGCAUCAGAAAUACUACAUAAAUUAUCUAUCUAAAGAGAGGUGUCAGGGUUUUACAUGGAGAUAGUUUAUAGGGUAGGCCACAUCUGUAUUAUUGUGUUUUGCAACUUGUUCUUUGUAAUAUACUUAGCUGCAUCAAACUAUAUGACCUUUUCUUAAUUUGAUGUACUACAAAAGAAACUUUAGCAUAAAUGUUUUCAAAAUAAUAUCACUGCCCAAAUGUCACAUUAAGCCAAGCAUUUUAUGAAUCAGCAAGACCAGUCUCCUCUUCCUGCUGUCAUUUCUUUUGUCCUUCCCCUUUUCUUCCUUCUGCCAAGUACUUGCAUAUUUGUGUGCUUAUGUUAGCAGCAUCCACACUGAUACCUGUUCUCUUUUUUUUCACCCUAGCUCCAGGGGUAAAAGGAGAGACUAAAAAAAAAAAAUAUUCUGCAAGUCUUAAAUAUGGGACAAAAUUCAAGGAAUUAUUUCUUAUCUUGUCACCUUUAAAAUAUCAUUAAUGGAACAUGUACAUCCUGAGUUUGUGGUAACAGUUAGUAGAUAUUUCUGUGUUUGGGAUGGAUGCCCUUUAGUGUAAAGUAUCAAGCAGCAAAUAGAGCACACACUCUGUAGAAUUAAAGAACCUUAGAAAAGAUGACUAUAAAAAUUUUAAGUACAUUUAGGGGAAGGAAUGAUUCAAUGGAGAGAAUGAAUUUGAAGAAAUGCUUGAAGUUCUAAUGUGGCUUUUAGUUACAAUAGAUCUUUUAAAACUACAAUGGAAUUUUGCCGUUAUGUCACUCAUUAUAGUUGGAAUUCUACUUUAACUAGAUUGUCUUCUGAUUUAUAUGAAACUUUAAUUGCUUGAAGUAUAGACUUAAGUUAAAACUUCUGUAGCAUGGAUUCCAGAGAUUCUAGUUGUUUUUUUUUUUCCCCCAGGAAGAAAAACAGGAAAUACUAUGUCCAGAAACUAAUGAAAUGAAGGUGUUUUUAAUGAUGAAUUUUCUUCAGACAAUAAGAUACUGUAUGGUUUCUAGAUUACAGUGCGUUAGGGCUAAAUGUGGAAACUGGAACUCCAAUAUAAGGUUUUGCACCUUAAAGGUAAUAUGGGGGUAAAUGCAUAUAUCUAACUCUGGAUCUCAUGGUAAAAUUAAGAGAGUAAUUGUGCAUUGCACCAGGAAUAAUGUGCUACUCACAAAUGGAUGUCACUUGCCAAGUUUACACAUCUGAUUUAGAAGAAACAAAGAUUUCAGACUUAAUUGAGGAUGCACGUCUUUGAUUGCUUACUUGAGGUAACUCUAGUCCUUUAAGACUAUCUUCAAACCAUCAGCAGGAUUUAUUUUAAAAAUCCUCCAAUUGAGGCAGCCAUUUAAAAUUGAGUAA